UACCUAAAAUAAUUUCGUUUGGGUAUAAAAAUUACGAGGUGGUCAACACAAAACGGUUUGCAGUAUGCAACACAUGCGGUUCGAAAAUUACUGAUGGAGAGGCAACAACUUCCAACUUCGUCCGGCAUUUGAAGUUGCACAAAGAACGCUAAUUAAAGAUGAGCUGGUUCCAGCCGAGGACCGGGUCAAGGGCCGACUCCCCCCCUGCAAAUUAACGCCUCGUCCCGUCCAGAGAAGAGACGUGAGAGAGAAGAGAUAGGAGGGGGCCCGCAUGCCGGCCAAAGUCAAAUGGAUUAAAAGGAGCAGGUGAAGCAUCUCUUAAACCCUGAGAGGAGGCACCACCAGGAUUUUAAGGAGUUUGGGUCCUUGCAGGACAGCAAUAAAGUCUGCUUAACCCA